UUUUACUUGGCUUCCAACCUUCACAACUACCCCAGCGACGUCAAAUCCUGGAAUAAUCUGUUACAAAAGGUGAAAGGAAUUACAAGUGUUGCCACCAGUGUAAUGAAUAGAUCUCAUUAUAGAUAUGUUGGUAUCCCAAGUAUUUCAAGUCCCAAGUCUAUUAAUAAGUUAGUUAUGGUAGUUAUUUAACCAGCAUACGAAUGGGUGUCAGGGCCGCGACCGCUCAGGGCCCAAAUUGAUAUAGGGCCCGAAUUUUUUUUACUUAUAUAUAUUUAACAAAAAAAUCUGUAUGUUUUAUAUUCCUUUUCAAAUGUUGUAAAUAGUUUUUUAGAUUAUAGUUCAUCGAUCCAUAUAUCACUAAAACCAAUCUGUUGAUCUUCAAAGAUCCUACAAAAUCCAGAUGCGCUUCUAGAAAUACAAUUGUGCUUUGAAAUAAAGUAAUCAGAAAGAAAUUAACUAUCCAUAUAUAGUUAAUUAAAAAUCUGAUGAAAGAAAUAUGUUACCGACCGGCAAAGGAGAAUCGAUAGCUUUAAAGUAACCAAGCCUCCUUUUGUAAUCAACAGGGUUAAGAGCAGCAGCAACCACCUUAACCAACACCUGAUCAUCUUUGAUCUCAGGAACCGCCACAUCAGUAGCCAGUUUCAGCACAUCAACACUUCCAUAUUCAUCAUACUUCCAUGCCUUCAUCUUUUGUCAAGAAAAGAAUUUUCUUUUCUGGGAAAAAAAUGUAGUAGCUGUAGUAAAUUUUGCCCUUGAUUUGUGGGCAAAUAUAUCACAAUGAUGUGGAGAAUAUAAUAGUGGGCAAAUAUAUCAAGUGGUCGUUAAUUAAUAUCCGUAAUCCAUUAUCACCUCUUUAUUUUUAUGUAAGUGGUCCCUUACAAAAGUCAAUUAAUAUCCGUAAUCCAUUAUCACCUCUUUAU
rnacentral:lncRNA from 1 species